rnacentral:rRNA from 1 species
AUUGAACGCUGGCGGCAGGCCUAACACAUGCAAGUCGAACGCGUGGCGGACGGGUGAGUAAUGUCUGGGAAACUGCCUGAUGGAGGGGGAUAACUACUGUACACGGUAGCUAAUACCGCAUACCAUCGGAUGUGCCCAGAUGGGAUUAGCUAGUAGGGGGGGUAAAGGCUCACCUAGGCGAAGAUCCCUAGCUGGUCUGAGAGGAGGACCAGACACACUGGAACGGAGCAACGGGCCAGACUCCUACGGGAGGCAGCAGUGGGGAAGAGUGCACAAUGGGCGAAAUGCUGAGGCAGCAAUGCCGCGUGUAUGAAGAAGGCCUUCGGGUUGUAAAGUACUUUCAGCGGGGAGGCGUUACUCGCAGAAGAAGCACCGGCUAACUCCGUGCCAGCAGCCGCGGUAAUUC